AUUGAACGCUGGCGGCAUGCCUUACACAUGCAAGUCGAACGGCAGCGGACCUUCGGGUGCCGGCGAGUGGCGAACGGGUGAGUAAUAUAUCGGAACGUACCUUUCAGUGGGGGAUAACGGUAGCGAAAGUUACGCUAAUACCGCAUAUUCUGUGAGCAGGAAAGGCAGGGGAUCGCAAGACCUUGCGCUGAUUGAGCGGCCGAUAUCAGAUUAGCUAGUUGGUGAGGUAAAGGCUCACCAAGGCGACGAUCUGUAGCGGGUCUGAGAGGAUGAUCCGCCACACUGGAACUGAGACACGGUCCAGACUCCUACGGGAGGCAGCAGUGGGGAAUUUUGGACAAUGGGCGCAAGCCUGAUCCAGCCAUGCCGCGUGAGUGAAGAAGGCCUGG
rnacentral:rRNA from 1 species